rnacentral:rRNA from 1 species
CCCGCAAGGGUGAGUAAAGUGGCGCACGGGUGAGUAACACGUGGGUAAUCUGCCUCUGGGUGGGGAAUAACUCUGGGAAACCGGAGCUAAUACCGCAUAAGCCUGCAAGGGGAAAGGUGAAAAUCGCCGAGAGAGGAGCCCGCGGCCGAUUAGCUUGUUGGUGAGGUAAAGGCUCACCAAGGCAACGAUCGGUAGCCGGCCUGAGAGGGCACACGGCCACACUGGCACUGAAACACGGGCCAGACUCCUACGGGAGGCAGCAGUGGGGAAUCUUGCACAAUGGGGGAAACCCUGAUGCAGCGACGCCGCGUGAGCGAUGAAGCCCUUCGGGGUGUAAAGCUCUUUCGGCAGGAACGAUAAUGACGGUACCUGAAGAAGAAGCUGCGGCUAACUACGUGCCAGCAGCCGCGGUAAUACGUAGGCAGCGAGCGUUGUUCGGAGUUACUGGGCGUAAAGAGUGCGUAGGCGGUGCCCUAAGUCUGGUGUGAAAUCUCCCGGCUCAACCGGGAGGGUGCGCCGGAAACUGGGGUGCUCGAGUGUGGGAGAGGCAGGCGGAAUUCCCGGUGUAGCGGUGGAAAUGCGUAGAUAUCGGGAGGAACACCCGCGGUGUAGACGGCCUGCUGGACCAUGACUGACGCUGAGGCACGAAAGCCGUGGGGAGCAAACAGGAUUAGAUACCCCUGGUAGUCCACGCCCUAAACGAUGCAUACUUGGUGUGAGCCAUUUCAUUUUGGUUCGUGCCGGAGCCUAACGCCGUUAAGUAUGCCGCCUGGGGGGAGUAC